rnacentral:rRNA from 1 species
CCUACGGGAGGCAGCAGUGGGGAAUAUUGCGCAAUGGGCGAAAGCCUGACGCAGCGACGCCGCGUGAGGGAUGAAGGUUUUCGGAUCGUAAACCUCUGUCAGAAGGGAAGAAACUACGUUGUGCUAAUCAGCAGCGUACUGACGGUACCUUCAAAGGAAGCACCGGCUAACUCCGUGCCAGCAGCCGCGGUAAU